rnacentral:tRNA from 1 species
ACAAAAUGGCUGAUAAAAGCAAAGAACUGUAAAUUCUUCUAUAGAUAAAAAAUCUUUUUGUUAA